GAGAAUCGUUGUCUAUAGCCUUUCCUUUGUCCAUGCCUCAGUUGUUACUUGCAUUCCAAGGUGUACUACUUCUGGUACGAUUGCUCAGAGACAUCUUACGCUUGAUUUGUUGCUCCACUUGUACAGCCUUGUGAAGCAGUUCAUAUAGGCUGCUAUAGUUGGAUGUCUCCACUUUUCGGGCUAUAUGCUCUUGCAACCCGUCAAUGAAUUAAGACAUCAAUGACUCGCUGGAUUCUUCUAACUCCAAGGAGUUCAUGAGCUUCUCAAACUCCUCAAAAUACUCGUCCACGGUCCUUGUUCCUUGAGACAAUUUUCUAAAAC
rnacentral:lncRNA from 1 species